rnacentral:rRNA from 1 species
UACGUAGGGGGCAAGCGUUGUCCGGAUUCAUUGGGCGUAAAGAGCUCGUAGGCGGUUUGUUGCGUCGGCUGUGAAAUCCCGAGGCUCAACCUCGGGUCUGCAGUCGAUACGAGCAAACUAGAGUGUUGCAGGGGAGACUGGAAUUCCUGGUGUAGCGGUGAAAUGCGCAGAUAUCAGGAGGAACACCGGUGGCGAAGGCGGGUAGCUGGGCCGACACUGACGCUGAUGACGCGAAAGCCAGGGGAGCGAAGCGGG